UUGGGAUCAAACUGAAUUUGCAGCCAGGCAUCAUAGCUCAUGCCUGUAAUUCCAGCACUUUGGGAGGCUGAGAUAGAGGAUCACUUGAGACCAGGAGUCCAAGACCAGCCUGGGGAACAUAACGAGACCUUGCCUCUACAAAAAAAAAGUUUUAAAAAUUAGCCUGGUGUAGUGGGCAUGCUUAUAGUCUUAGCUACUAGGGAGGCUGAGGUAGGAGGAUCACUUGAGCCCAGGAGUUCAAAGUUAUAGGGAGCUAAGAGUGCAUCACAGCACUCCAGCCCGGGCAACAGAGCAAGACCCUGAUUCUAAACACACCUAUACACACACACACACCCCACCACCAACAACAACAAUGAAAAACCCUGAAUUUACAUCCUUCACGAUAAAGUGAUAGCUUCUGUGACAUUUGCACAGAAUUCUGAGUAAAGUUGCCUUUUCAGUCACAUCUGUUAAUGUUGACAAGACAUAAUCUAAAAAUUAAGAGGAUGAGAAUAGAAGGACCACUUCCCUUCUAGUGACCUCCCGGACCACACCAAGCACCAACAUCAUGAGGAUCCAAGGAAUCUCUGGAAAGUUCUAUCUCCAGAAGAUACCCUGAGAACACUUAGGCCCUCCCAGACCACAUGAAGAACCAACGUCAUAAGGAUCCAAGGCAUCCCUGGAAAGUUCCUUCUCCAGAAGAAGGAUCCAAGGCAUCUCUGGAAAGUUCCAUCUCCAGAAGAUUCCCUGAGAACACUUAGGCCCUCCCAGACCACACCAAGCACCAACAUCAUGAGGAUCCAAGGAAUCUCUGGAAAGUUCUAUCUCCAAAAGAUACCGUGAGAACACUUAGGCCCUCCCAGACCACACCAAGCACCAACAUCAUGAGGAUCCAAGGCAUCUCUGGAAAGUUCCCUCUCCAGAAGAUUCCCUGAGAAGACUUAGGCAUGAUCUUAAAUAAAUAUUCCUGUUGUUUAAAAGGCCUUAAAUUCCUCAUAUUUAAG
rnacentral:lncRNA from 1 species